GACGAACGCUGGCGGCAGGCUUAACACAUGCAAGUCGAACGCCCCGCAAGGGGAGUGGCAGACGGGUGAGUAACGCGUGGGAACAUACCCUUUCCUGCGGAAUAGCUCUGGGAAACUGGAAUUAAUACCGCAUACGCCCUACGGGGGAAAGAUUUAUCGGGGAAGGAUUGGCCCGCGUUGGAUUAGCUAGUUGGUGGGGUAAAGGCCUACCAAGGCGACGAUCCAUAGCUGGUCUGAGAGGAUGAUCAGCCACAUUGGGACUGAGACACGGCCCAACUCCUACGGGAGGCAGCAGUGGGGAAUAUUGGACAAUGGGCGCAAGCCUGAUCCAGCCAUGCCGCGUGAGUGAUGAAGGCCUUAGGGUUGUAAAGCUCUUUCACCGAUGAAGAUAAUGACGGUAGUCGGAGAAGAAGCCCCGGCUAACUUCGUGCCAGCCGCCGCCGUAAUAC
rnacentral:rRNA from 1 species